rnacentral:rRNA from 1 species
UUGGAGGGCAAGUCUGGUGCCAGCAGCCGCGGUAAUUCCAGCUCCAAUAGCGUAUAUUAAAGUUGUUGCAGUUAAAAAGCUCGUAGUUGAAUUUCGAGAUCAAAUUGUUGGUCGUGCCUCGGUACGUACUGGCAUUAUUGAUUUCUCCCUUCUGACGAUCCGCGAUGUCAUUAAUUUGGUGUCGCGGGGAAUCAGGACUGUUACUUUGAAAAAAUUAGAGUGUUUAAAGCAGGC